CUAGUGCUUUUAUGAUGGUCUAUCAGAAAAGCAUCGAUGGAUGGUUGAUGCUUCAUGUAGUAGAACAUUUAUGUUCAAAAAUGAACAUGGGACUUGGCAACUAUUUGAGACUCUUAGCAAAAACUCUCUACACUACAUGUCUACUGCCUGCAGAGACUCUCCCAUGAUUGGACCAAAAAGAGGCAAAAUUUAUGUGGUAGGCCAUUCUAUAGACAUCCACAGCA
rnacentral:lncRNA from 1 species